rnacentral:rRNA from 1 species
UCCAGGAAAAGCCUCUAAGCAUCAGGUAACAUUAAAUCGUACCCCAAACCGACACAGGUGGUCAGGUAGAGAAUACUCAGGCGCUUGAGAGAACUCGGGUGAAGGAACUAGGCAAAAUGGUGCCGUAACUUCGGGAGAAGGCACGCUGGCAUUAGGUAAAGAGACUUGCUCUCGGCGCUGAAGCCAGUCGCAGAUACCAGCUGGCUGCAACUGUUUAAUAAAAACACAGCACUGUGCAAACACGAAAGUGGACGUAUACGGUGUGACGCCUGCCCGGUGCUGGAAGGUUAAUUGAUGGGGUCAGCCGCAAGGCGAAGCUCUUGAUCGAAGCCCCAGUAAACGGCGGCCGUAACUAUAACGGUCCUAAGGUAGCGAAAUUCCUUGUCGGGUAAGUUCCGACCUGCACGAAUGGCGUAAUGAUGGCCAGGCUGUCUCCACCCGAGACUCAGUGAAAUUGAACUCGCUGUGAAGAUGCAGUGUACCCGCGGCAAGACGGAAAGACCCCGUGAACCUUUACUAUAGCUUGACACUGAACAUUGAGCCUUGAUGUGUAGGAUAGGUGGGAGGCAUUGAAGUGUGGACGCCAGUCUGCAUGGAGCCAACCUUGAAAUACCACCCUUUAAUGUUUGAUGUUCUAACUCGGCCCCAUAAUCUGGGGUGAGGACAGUGUCUGGUGGGUAGUUUGACUGGGGCGGUCUCCUCCCAAAGAGUAACGGAGGAGCACGAAGGUUAGCUAAUCACGGUCGGACAUCGUGAGGUUAGUGCAAAGGCAUAAGCUAGCUUGACUGCGAGAGUGACGGCUCGAGCAGGUACGAAAGUAGGUCUUAGUGAUCCGGUGGUUCUGAAUGGAAGGGCCAUCGCUCAACGGAUAAAAGGUACUCCGGGGAUAACAGGCUGAUACCGCCCAAGAGUUCAUAUCGACGGCGGUGUUUGGCACCUCGAUGUCGGCUCAUCACAUCCUGGGGCUGAAGUAGGUCCCAAGGGUAUGGCUGUUCGCCAUUUAAAGUGGUACGCGAGCUGGGUUUAGAACGUCGUGAGACAGUUCGGUCCCUAUCUGCCGUGGGCGUUGGAAGAUUGAGAGGGGCUGCUCCUAGUACGAGAGGACCGGAGUGGACGAAUCACUGGUGUUCGGGUUGUCAUGCCAAUGGCAUUGCCCGGUAGCUAAAUUCGGAAGAGAUAACCGCUGAAAGCAUCUAAGCGGGAAACUUGCCUCGAGAUGAGUCUUCCCUGGGGCUUUAAGCCCCCUGAAGGAACGUUAAAGACUAUGACGUUGAUAGGCUGGGUGUGUAAGUGCAGCGAUGCAUUGAGCUAACCAGUACUAAUGAUCCGUGAGGCUUAACCUU